rnacentral:other from 1 species
CAGAUCCUAAAGUGUUAGUCGGAUGCCGAUAUGUUUUGACCGAACAUUUAAUGCUUGGGAGUCCGUUGUUUUCACCUGGCGCGCAGGCCCGUAGAGGGAUCCGUAAAUUGUGGAACAGGACACCCACCUGCUCUAUUGCGGGUUUCAAAGCUACGGUUCCUCAACGGCACGUUUGGGACCUUA